GCAGGGUGAAGGUGCAGUAACAUGCACUGGAGGCCCGAACCGUUGAGCGUUGAAAAGCUCUCGGAUGACCUGUGCCUAGGGGUGAAAGGCCAAUCAAACUUGCUGAUAGCUGGUUCUCCUCGAAAUCUAUUUAGGUAGAGCGUUAGAUGAAUACCAUCGGGGGUAGAGCACUGGAUGGGCUAGGGGGUCUCACCGACUUACCAAACCUAACCAAACUCCGAAUACCGAUGAGUAAUAUCUGGCAGACACACUACGGGUGCUAAGGUCCGUAGUGGAAAGGGAAACAGCCCUGACCGCCAGCUAAGGUCCCUAAGUUAUGGCUAAGUGGGAAAGGAUGUGAGAGUGCAUAGACAACCAGGAUGUUGGCUUAGAAGCAGCCAUCAUUUAAAGAAAGCGUAACAGCUCACUGGUCAAGCGCUCUUGCGCCGAAAAUGUACCGGGGCUAAAGCCAUACACCGAAGCUGCGGAUGCACAUUUAUGUGCGUGGUAGCGGAGCGUUCUGUAAGCCUGUGAAGGGUGACCCGCGAGGGCACUUGGAGGUAUCAGAAGUGAGAAUGCUGACAUGAGUAGCGAUAAAGAGGGUGAGAGACCCUCUCGCCGAAAGACCAAGGGUUCCUGCGUAAAGCUAAUCUGCGCAGGGUUAGCCGGCCCCUAAGGCGAGGCCGAAAGGCGUAGUCGAUGGGAACCAGGUUAAUAUUCCUGGGCCAGCGGGUAGUGACGGAUUGCGGACGUUGUACACUCUUACUGGAUUGAGUGUGCAGCCAAGCCGUCCCUGGAAAUAGCUCCCGCAUGAGACCGUACCCCAAACCGACACAGGUGGACUGGUAGAGAAUACCAAGGCGCUUGAGAGAA
rnacentral:rRNA from 1 species